GACGAACGCUGGCGGCGUGCUUAACACAUGCAAGUCGAACGGAAAGGCCCUGCUUUUGUGGGGUGCUCGAGUGGCGAACGGGUGAGUAACACGUGAGUAACCUGCCCUUGACUUUGGGAUAACUUCAGGAAACUGGGGCUAAUACCGGAUAGGAGCUCCUGCUGCAUGUGGGGGGUUGGAAAGUUUCGGCGGUGGGGGCUGGACUCGCGGCUUACGAGCUGGUUGGUGUGGUAGUGGCUGACGAAGGGUUUGACGGGUAGCCGGCAUGAGAGGGUGACCGGCCACAUUGGGACUGAGAUACGGACCAGAAUCCUACGGGAGGCAGCAGUGGGGAAUCUUGCACAAUGGGCGGAAGCCUGAUGCAGCAACGCCGCGUGCGGGAUGCCGGCCUUCGGGUUGUAAACCGCUUUCGCCUGUGACGAAGAGUGAGUGACGGUAAUGGGUAAAGAAGCACCGGCUAACUGCGUG
rnacentral:rRNA from 1 species